rnacentral:lncRNA from 1 species
ACCACCCACACAUUUAAUCUGCUUCCCCCACCAAGAACCCCCGAAAGCUCAAGUUUUGCUUGGUUGGAAGACGAAAUCAGAGUGUUUGCCAUGAAAAAGUAACCACUUUCAAAGACACAUAACUCCCCCACAAUUUCAUACACUUUCCGUUAUCCUGAUUCCAUUCUAAAGGCAGAGAACCAAUCCUAGAUAAAAAAAAUAAAAGAAAGAUAUAGACACUUUUAUAAAAAAGGAGACACUCAGCAUAUUAAUAUAGAAAUCCAUUUCUGCAUAUAUGAUAUUUGUAGUACCACUUCAUACAAACCGACGACGUAUAUUAAUAUUGAUACAUUAUUCAAUAUUUUUCUUCUCAAUAUUUAUAUUACAAAAAUUAUCUUAUUGAAUUAAAA